rnacentral:rRNA from 1 species
CGCGUAAAGAACUUGCCUCACAGCUAGGGACAACAUUUAGAAAUGAAUGCUAAUACCUGAUAUUAUGAUUUUAAGGCAUCUUAGAAUUAUGAAAGCUAUAUGCGCUGUGAGAGAGCUUUGCGUCCCAUUAGCUAGUUGGAGAGGUAACAGCUCACCAAGGCGAUGAUGGGUAGCCGGCCUGAGAGGGUGAACGGCCACAAGGGGACUGAGACACGGCCCUUACUCCUACGGGAGGCAGCAGUC